ensembl:processed_transcript predicted gene 4189
GAGCGGGGAGCGAGAGUCCCACGGCCCCACCCCCAUCGCGCCCUCUGGCUUGAGAGUCUACGUUGUCUCGGACCCGGAAGUGGCUUUGGGUCACGCGGCUUCGCGGAGGAGCGAGUCCUGUGACUCCCUGCUGAGGAGCUGGCCUCCUGCCUCUAGCUGUCUGAGUUCACGACCUACAGUAGAGCCUGGGACGUGCAUGCACUUGAACGCAUGAUUGCCCUGGACUGGGUCAUCAGAGGAAACACAGAUUCUAGUUUAAUUUGUCCAAGGAUUCUACCUUACUCAUUUGUAAAUUAAACAACUAUAAAGGUAAAAAAGCAGCUCUGUGGAGAAAACUUGAGUAAAAGUAAGAACAUCUUGCAAAAUGU